rnacentral:rRNA from 1 species
GACAGAGGGGGCAAGCGUUGCUCGGAAUCACUGGGCGUAAAGGGCGCGUAGGCGGGAUGGCAAGUCAGUCGUGAAAUCUCUCGGCUCAACCGAGAAACGUCGGCUGAUACUGCCGUUCUUGAGGGAUGCAGAGGAGACUGGAAUUCCCGGUGUAGCGGUGAAAUGUGUAGAGAUCGGGAGGAACACCGGUGGCGAAGGCGGGUCUCUGGGCAUCUCCUGACGCGUGAGGCGACGAAGCGGUGGGAGCGAACAGG